UUAUCUAGGAUGACUAGGACUCUUAAAAUAAUAUUGAAUAGAAAUGAGAAUAAAUGUUCUUGAAUUGCUCCUGAUUUCAAAGGGAAUAAUUUGUAGUAUUUCAACAUUGGGUGUUUACUGUCAUUUUUUUGUGAAUGUCUUUUAUCAAACUAGAAAAUUUUCUUCUAUUCUUAGUCUAUUGGAUAUUGAAUUUCAUUGAAUGCUUUUCCUGAAUCUCUGUGAUGAUUAAUUGAUCCUCUUUAAUCUGUUAGAUCAGUUACAUUAAUAGAUUUCUCUGAGUUUGAACCUUGCAUUCCUAGAAUAAACCUAACUUGAUUGUGAUAUAAUACAUAUUAUGUAGGAUUAUACUAUAUAGAUUUCAGUUUGUCAAUAUUUUGUUGAGAGUUUUGCUUCUAUUUUUAUGGAUGAGGUUUUUUUUUCCUGAUUUUACAAAUUUUGUAAAAUAAGUUGAGGUAAUGUUCUCUUUUCCUGCUUGCUGAAAGAAUUUGGUAAGAUUGAAAGUAUCUGUUCCUAAAUUUAGUGAGAACUCACCUGUAGAACCAUUUAGGUUUAGAGUUUCUUGUGGGAAGAUUUUUAAUUACUGACUGAAUUUUGUUAACAGUUAUCAAGCCAGUCAGAUUUUCUAUUAUUGCCUGAGUCAUUUUUGGUAAUUUAUAUUUUUCUGAGAAGUUGGCUGCUUCAUGUAAUUUUUCAAAUUUAUUUUUAUAAACUUACUCAUAAUAUUCUUUUUCUAUCUUUAUAAUUACUGCUACAUCUGUGGUUUGGUCCUCUUUUUACCUCGGUCUUAAUAUUGUUUAUUUAUAACUUCUCUGUCUUUUCUUGAUCAGUUUUGCUGGAAUUUUGCCCAUUUAUUAGUGUUUUUAAAGAUGUAACUCUCAGCAUCUUGAUCCUCUUUAUAGCUUUUAUGUUUUCUAUUUUGUUAACUUCUUCUCUUGCCUUUAUUCUUUCUUUUUUCCUACUAUCUUUGGGUCUAUUCUGUUUUUCAAAGUUAACUUCUUAAAUUGAAUGUUUAGUGCAGUCAUCUUUAAUUUUUAUUUCUUAAAUAUGGUCAACAUAAUUAUUAUAGAAAUUUAUAAAAUAAGUUGCCUUAUCUGUACUGCUUCUUUUUUUCCCUCUAUGAGUUUGGAAGUUGUGCAGUUUAUUUCUAGUCUUUUAGUGUAUCCCUAGAAUUUUAUCAUGUAUAUUUAAUCAAUGUGUCUAAUGUUAAUAAAUAUUUUAUUCUUUUGAAUAAUCUAUAUAUAUCCAUAUGCUUUUCCUUCAAUUACCUCUCAGUCAAUUUACAUGCUAUUAUUGUCAGCAGGUAAGAGCUAUAUUUAACUCAGUCUGGUUUUUAUUUUCUCAUCUCCACAAAUUAGACAUUGUUAUCUCUAAGUUACUCCAUGAUAAAAAAAAAAAAGUCAUCACCAUUUUGGGUUCCAAGGUAAUUAUUGCAAGUCCUAAUUAUUGCAUGACUUCCACUGGCCUUCAUUGUCCUAAGGAGUGCAGACUUUUAGUCUAGGCCUGAUUUUGGAGGAUACCAAAACUAUUUUAAAAAUCAAAUCUGUGAAACUAUUGCUGUUUCUGAGAACUGUUUACCUCAGACAAAUUUCCCCUUGAUUGAGAUGAUCAAACAACGGCUACUCUCUCACCCUUUCCUGUUUUCAUACCCUGACACAUACUGUGUUUUCUUUCUAAUGAAACAAGUCUGGGGGAAUUUUCUCGUACCCCUAAAAACCUGCUUUUAAAAAUAAAGUUCAUGAAAUAUUUCCCCUCUUACUGGGAUUCCACUGAUUUCCACUGGUUCCCUUUCCUUUCCUUGCGCCUGAAGCCUUGGGUCUUUAUUGGCGAAUAAAGUAUUGGGUUAGGUAUGAGAUAUUUAAUAUGUGAAAACAAAAAGCCUCAGUAAAUGGAGACGUGGGCUUUACUUGUCAGAGUGCAUUCCAUGUGUUUCCUGAGUAAACGUUUCAGAAAAACCCUUAAAGACAACAGACUCUAAUCAGGCCAGCACAGCACACACACAAAAAGGCCAAGUGAAAGCGUAAGAUAAGAGAGAAUUAUGACUAUUCUCUCUGAAAAGGAAAACUCUAUUUCUGAAACUGUAGAGUCAAAACAGUUGAAUUCUUUGUCCUUACAGUCCUGCUGGGAGUGAAGAACUACCAGGUUUCUGACCUGAACAAGAGCAAGGACCUGCCUCCAAGCUGUAGGACUCUUAAACCCAUGCCCUGACGCAAAUGACCCUCUCAAAUGACCCUCUGGUACACAUGUUGGGUUCCUUGAUUUUGGUCUCACUCAAAGCUUAUUGUGUGUCAAAUUUAUAAAAAGGGAAAAGCCCGUCUGUGACCAGAUGAAGAGACAAUGCAAAUCUUACCUGGCUCUGAUGGUGCUGGAUCACAGCAGGCCUGCAGGCCCUUAGGAGGCAACAUGGCUUCCCUGCAGACGUCCUGUGGGUGCCGGGGUGAGAAGACAACAGGCCUUUGGAAGACGUGGCUGCAAAGUCAAGCCACAAAGUGACAAUGAUGACCUCUGACUGAGAAGUAGAAGACUGG
rnacentral:lncRNA from 1 species